AAACAAAUAGGUUCAGUCCUGGCCUUUCUAUUAACUCUUAGUAAGAUUACACAUGCAAGCAUCCCCACCCCAGUGGAAAUGCCCUCUAGAUCCCCCAGAUCAAAAGGAGCAGAUACCAAGCACACACAAAGACAACUCAAAACAGUUUGCUCAAUCACACCCCCACGGGAAAGAGGAGUGAUAAAUCUUUAGUAAUAAGCAAAAGGUUAACUAUGGUCUACGGAUGUCGAGGGUUGGUCAAUUUCGUGCCAGCCACCGCGGCCAUACUCAGCCCUAGCUAACCUAAUAGCACUCGGCGUAAAGACUGUUUAAGGUCCCUAAAUAAAGCUAAACUCUAAGUCAUUAGAAAAAAAAAUGAACUCCAGAUGAAAGAAAAUAUACUAUGAAAGUGGCUUUAAUAGCCUAAAGACACAAUAGCUAAGACCCAAACUGGGAUUAGAUACCCCACUCUUCUUAGCCCUAAGCCCUAAUAGUUACAUUAACAAAACGAUUCCCCAGAAUACUACAAGAAAUAGCUUAAAACUCGAAGGACUUGGAGGUGCUUUAUAUCUCUCUAAAGGAACCUGUUUUAUAAUCAACAAACCCCGAUAUACCUCACCACCUCUUGCCCCCAGGCUAUAUACCACCAUCUUCAGCAAACCCUAAAAAGGUUAUGGAGUAAGCACACGUAUUUUCAUUAAAAUGUUAUGUCAAGGUGUAGCUCAUGAGGUGACAAGAAAUGGGCUAUAUUUUCUGUAUCCAGAAAAACUUACAACAACCUUUAGGAAAUUUAAAGGUCCAAGGAGGAUUUAGUAGGAAACCAAGAGCAGAGUGCUUAGUUGAAUACGGCCAUGAAGCAUGGACACACUGCUCAUCAUCAUCCUCAAAUAUUGCUCUAGAAACUAUUAUCACUAAAAACUCUCUAUGCACAUAUAGAGGAGCUAAGUCAGAACAUGGUAAGGAUACUGGAAGCUGCACUUAGACAAAACAAAGU
rnacentral:ncRNA from 1 species